rnacentral:rRNA from 1 species
UAAUUAGAUUGUCCGCCCCAUCAAUUGUUGACGGUAAGGUAGUGGCUUACCGUGGUUACAACGGGUAACGGGGAAUCAGGGUUCGAUUCCGGAGAGGGAGCAUGAGAAAUGGCUGCCAGAUCUAUGGAUUGCAGCAGGUGCGAAAAUUAUCCACUUUUGGCAUAAAGAGAUAGUGAUGAUAAAUAACGGAUCUGGGCAUUUGUUCAGAGAUCGUAAUGAAAUAAUCGUAAAAGCUUUAAUGAACGCAAUUGGAGGGCAAGUCUGGUGCCAGCAGCCGCGGCAAUUCCAGUUCCAAUAGUGUAUACUAAAGUUGCUGCAGUUGAAAAGCUCGUAGUUGGAUCUCGGCUUGCUAGCGCGCGAGGCGUGUGAGUAGGCCUUUGCUGUAGUUGAGUGCUACGGCUUUACCUUGAACAAAAUAGAGUGCUUAAGGCAAGCAUUCUGCUUGAAUAUCUCAGCAUGGAAUAAUAGAAAAAGACUUUUCUGUUGGUUUACCAGUAGUAAAAGUAAUGAUUAACAGAGACAGACGGGGGCAUUCGUAUCGCACCGCUAGAGGUGAAAUUCGUAGAUCGGUGCGGGACGAACUACAGCGAAAGCAUUUGCCAAGGAUGUUUUCAUUAAUCAAGAACGAAAGUUGGAGUAUCGAAGUCGAUUAGAUCUCGUCGUAGUUCCAACUAUAAACGAUGCCAACUAGCACUCCGCUAAUAAGUAUUAGUACGUUAGCGGGUUGCUUCCGGGAAACCAAAGUCUUUGGGCUCCGGGGGAAGUAUGGUUGCAAAGCUGAAACUUAAAGGAAUUGACGGAAGGGCACCACCAGGAGUGGAGCCUGCGGCUCAAUUUGACUCAACACAGAAAAACUCACCCGGGCCGAACACAGUAAGGAUUGACAGACUGAUAGCUUUUUCUUGAUACUGUGGGUAGUGGUGCAUGGCCGUUGUUGGUUGGUGGAGUGAUCUGUCUGGUUAAUUCCGAUAACGAACGAGACUCAGGCCUACUUACUAGUUGUUCGAUUGCUGGUCGAUCAACUUCUUAGAGGGAUCAGUGUUUAAAACACUUGAAAAUGAGCAAUAACAGGUCUGUGAUUGCCCUUAGACGUUCGGGGCUGCACGC